UUUGAAUUAUAUUGCUCAUUUCUAUAAUUGGAUUUAAAUUUUUAAUGUUUGAGAUAAGCAUUUAUUUAUUGUAAAGUGUAUAUAUUAGUUUGAGGAGAUUCAUUUCCUUUUCUUCUCCCCAAAACAGUCGACCUUCUCCCCUCUCUCUUUAUGGAACCUCAGUUUAGUUUGCUUUCAACCUUCAAGAAGAUUCAGCCGCCACCUCUGCUCCGACCGCCGUCGGCUGCCGUCGAGUCCAAGUCCGACGUCUCGUCUGUUCUUCCCUGGUGCCCCUCGCACUACUCUCAUCUUCUCUCAAUUUAGCGAAGAACCCAAAUGAGAAGCCCUAAUUUCAAAAUCCGAAAUCGCCGUCACCCGAGCCCGAAAUUCGGCAAUACAGCAUCCUCCUCUUCGACGUGGUCGAAGUUCUCGCACCGGAAGUCCUCGCCGUUCCCCCUUCUUUUCCGGUGUGGAGCCCUAAUUCUUAGUAGAAGGAAAUUACUACUGUCGCGACUGGAAGGCCAACGAACGGCUGAGCUUCGCCCAUCUCUGCCUUGAAUCCAUGCUCGAGAAGGAGAGAAAGGAAAACGAGCCCUAAUUCUUUUCUACUCCCGCCGUCAUGGUUCGGCUGCCACCUCCGCCGUCUGUGGAAGACCGGCGAUUCAGCGGCGCCGCUCCAUUCACAACGCCGCUACUGCUGCUACACGAUCCCCUCCGAGGCAGCAAGCGCUGCUGUCAUCAUCGUCGUCUUGGCUCGACUGAACAGGGUCGCGUCCCUCGUCGUCGAAAAGUUAGUAUUCUACUUGUUAUUGUAGAAAGUGUUUGAUGUUGCUUGUGAUUUCUGAGUUCAUGCCAUAAUAAUCGAGGCAUAGGUGACUUCUCUCUAAGAUUCCUAAAGUGAGAUAUUAAACAAAAUGUUAUAUGUUUCUAAGUUAGUAAUUACUUUAAAUUAAGUAAAAUGAUGGCAGGAAUCAUAGCUUCAGCCCAAAGCUUCGAUUUUUGACCCUCCCUCAAGAACCCCAGAAUUUCAUCUUCUUUAUAUUUGUAUCAAUUGACUAUGUAUACAUGUCUAUAUGUAUGUGAAGAAUUGAUUGGGAUUUAUUUGGGUAUUUAUUCACAAGAAAACAUGAUUCCCUAAUAGUUUAGUUUAAGUGGAUUUGGGAGUUCUUGGAAUAAGCUAGCUACAUGUUUGAUGCUUGUGUAAUUGUACUCCUUGAAUUGUAAAAUGAGAUUAUAUGACAAUAGUUGGAGGAUAUCAAGCAUGCUACUAUAUGUUGAUGUGUUGAACAUGAAUUACGUUUAAGCUAAAGCAUGCUAAUGUGUAGUAAGAUGAUGUAUUUGAGUUACUAUAGCUUUUAUUUGAUAAAAAUAUGAGUUAUAUGUUGAGUUGAGAUGAAGAAGGUAUUGCUGUUGGUUUUGCUGUACAGGACAGUACCUUGUAAGGUAUUUUCGGGAGUGUUCCUGUGAUCCAAAUAACUUGAAUUUUACUGUAUAACUUCAUCAUGAGUAGUAGAUCUCUGCAAAUUUCAGCUAAAUCCGAGACCAAUAGACAUGUCAAACUAUUUUCUGAAAUGUACUGCGUGAAGCAGCGUAGUUCAGUGGCAGAUUCUACCUUUGGUGAUAUAACUUCUUAUACACUUGAGAUAUUGUAUUUUUGUAAAUUUCUAAGAAAUAUAGACGUUAAUAGCUUUCUAAAAAGGUAAAGCUCGUAUUUUUCCUUGAAGCGAUUGAUUUUAUAUGAUUUUCCAAAGUUAGGAUUCAAAUGUGUAUGUGUCUUGAUUAAACUUGUGAUUGGUAGUUAAUUGAGAUCCUACACUACUAAACUUGAAUUGAGGUUUUAUUGUUCUAACUACCUAUUGAGGAUUAUUGAUUACUAAAGCUUGUUAAUAUGAUAGUUGAUGGACAUAAUUAUGUUUAUAUGAUUAAUUACUUUGGGAUUUUGUGUUUUACAUGUAUGGUUAGUUGUAAACUGAUCUCUAUGGAAUGGAUUUGUUUACUUCUAAACUUUCUCAAGUAGAGGAAUUCCUAUAAGAUAGGAAUAUUAGUUUAUACUUUCUUAAAGUUCAUAAGAGUUAGUAUAUUGGUUAGUUUAGUUGAUUCAACCCUAGCUCUGCAGAAGAUUAAAAGUUUAUUGGGAUGUUAUUUAUAGCUAAUUCUUCUUAUCUAGUUAUCCAAUCUUAUUUUAGAAUCUUGCUAUUAUGAAGGUGACAGUAGCAAUGAUAGAUAAGUGAGCAAGAGUUUCUACAUCGUUAAGCGUAUCAGGUGGGCUUUCUAAACUCAUAAUUUGAAGUGCGCACUAUUUAAUUAUGUUAUUAUAUGAAUGAAGUUAUAUUAAAGUUAUUGACUUGCCAAAACUUUUAUGAGCUUGUAUGUUACCAUCUACGAGAGAUAGACGAUAUCGGCCCUAUGCUGAAGCGAGAUGUCAGUAAGGGUUUGUGCACAUAGUUGUGACCGUGAGUCAUCGAGCGGGUUGGCCGGUCACUGUGAUCGGGAGCCUUCGGGCCGAUCACUGUGUUUGAGAAGGAGGCCUACUUCUCAACACAAGGUUACAUGAUGCGUAGUUAUGGUACAUACAUGUUAAUUGUCUGCAGACGUAUAUGAUAUUAUGAUGAUAUAUAUAUAGAAGUUUUACAGUUUUGGCGUGCACAGGUUAUUUAAAUAAAACUCCUGUGUGAUGCUUGAGAUGGCAAGUUCAAUAUAUAGCUCUAAGAGCAAACUUUAAAGUUAUUUCGGCAUGUGACCAUUGAGUACCUUUUUAGUACUCAGCCCUGCAUAUGUUUCUAAAUGUGCAGGUUAAGCUGUGAUGCAGAUGGAGGCGAGCAGAGCAAAGCUUUUGAAGUAUAAGUAUUAAAUUAGGCUCAGGAUUUCAUGUCUUCAUACAUGUAAUCCACUUAAGUUAUUCCGCUGCAACACUUAGUGUAUUUUACUUUAUUGAUGUGUUGUACAGAUUUUAAACCAAUAGCUUCGAAAAUUAUGUCACUUGAAAAUUUGACAACUUGUCGUUAUGUAUUGUGAGUUGUCUGCUUUGAGUUUUAGAAAAGAUUGUUUAUGAUUACCAAAUAUUUAGGUAAAUUAUUGUUUAAGCAAGAUGAUUAUUUUUAUUGAAACCUCUUUUAUUUUCCAUUUUCUUUUUCCAUUUCCCCAGUCACAUUUUCCCCGGCUUAACUGUUGUUAGCUUAGGUCGGGCUGUGACAGAGUGGUAUCAGAGCAGGUCAUUUGCUCUGAGCCUAAAUAUCCUUUUGAGUCUAGUCUAAAUUUGAAUCUUUGGACUAGUAUGAGUAAUAUAGUAAAAGCUCUGCUCUCCAUCUCAUCCAGCUUAGCCAGGUACGGAUUUUUCAGAGUUUUAAAGUAGCAUGUUACAUUUUUAAACAAGUUUGAGAUAUGAGUUGCAGUUUUGCAAGUAUUAGUAUGAUGGAAACUUAUAUAUUUUAAAAUGAGCAUGGACAACAUGAGUUAUUUUUGAGUAUCCUCUGCCUAUACGAACUUUUGGAUUUGAAUGGAUAAAAGUGUUAUUCAUAUAUUAAUAUUUAUAUUUUGAUAUGUGGAUGGAGAUAUAGACAGUUUGAUGAUACAAUAAUGAUGUAUAUCAGUCGCGAUGUAACCUAGUACUAGUAGUGAUGUUAUACAGUUAGGGCACCACAAUUAGUACUAAGAGCUUUUUGCAACAUAUAUUCCUAUCUUUCGUAUGAGAACUCAUUGAGGCAAAUUUUCCCAUGAUAUGAAACGACCGAAGUAGUCAUUUACUAGGUUGUUGAGCUUUAAUUGCUUAGAUGAUUGAAAUUUUGUGUAUGAGUUUUAUACUUUAGUUGGUUUAUAGUUAUGUAGCAGUUUGACUUUACGGAUGGAAUAAAAGCUCAAUUAUGGGGAUUUUGUGUAUUUACUCGGCAUGAUAUCUCAAAGAAGAAAUGGAAAUUUGCCAUCCGCCAUGUGAAUAAUUUAGAGGAAAGUUUUUCAUCAUCAAGAUCCCCCUAUUCAUAGUAGAGUUUCACGAGUUUCGCUUCCUUAGAUGCAAUGAUCAAGAGCGCCUUCUUGUAUGUUAUUUCAACUACAAGGAUCGACUGAUUCUUAGUGGGAGACGAAGCAGAAGAUACAUACCCUCGAGCGAUUAGAGAAUCUUAUUUGGGGCCACGUCACAGAAGUUUCUAUGAAGAACAUGUUCCCAGAAGCUACCAUAAGCAAAUGAAGAUGAUCGUGGUUGAAUAUGAUUGAGAGUUUUGAGACAUAUCUCGAUAUACGCCUUAUAAGGUUGAAACAUAGAGUAGUUGUAACUUUUGAUAGAGUUUUGAUGUAGUGCCUUUACUUGUUGGCAAACCAAAUAUUCUUUCAGCUAUUGCAAGCCAAACAUUCCUUCAACUAAUGAAGAUAUCUCUUUUCCAUUUCAUCCCUCCCACCAAAAGUUUUGUUUGAAAUCUUGAUAUAAUUUAGUGCUUCUGUGGUGGGCAGUAUAUAGCGUAUCAUGAGCUUUACUCGUGAUUUUAUUUCUCAACUGUUCAGUAUUGGGUACACAACUUUUCUCAAACAUGAUAGCAGUACCCCUAGCUUUUUGGCAAGUAUUGACCCCUUCUAUCAAAAUCCUUACCCAUAAUUUUUCUCCUUUUUAUUUUCCCCAUGUACUUUAACAAUUCUUCUUCUCAAAUCAAAAAUCAUUGUUAACAUUGCAAUUACAGCUUCUCUUGUUUGCUGUGGUAGAACCAUUUGUAAAUCCAACUUUCAAAUCCUUGAUGAGAAUUUUUCUUCAUGGGUAAGGAGAAAUCCUUAGUAAACUUGAGUUUUUCUACUCAAGGCAUCCACUACUAUAUUGGCUUUGCGUGGGUGAUAAUUUAUUCUACAAUCAUAGUCCCUUACUAAUUCGAGCUAUAUUCCUUGUCUCACACUUAGAUCUUUUGCUCGAAUAAGUAUUUUAAACUUUUAUGAGGUGUAUCAAUUCCACAUCUCGUUUCAGAAUACCAUUGUUGCUAGUUCCAAGUUAUGUUGAGCAAUUCAGUUCUUGUGGUCUAUGUUCUCAUGACCCAAUAACAAUAACUCUUUCACUUUGCAACAAUGCACAACCAAGUCCAUCUUUGAUACACAGGACCAAUUUUAUAUGGUCUUUCAACUUUGAGAAUUCGGCCAUAUUUUAAAAUAGCCUUUCAUCCAACAACAGAUGAGCAAUUUGAGAGAAAUCUUUAAACCUUAGAAGAUGUGACAUAGACUAUUGUACUAGAGCGAAGAAGUGGCGACCUUAGCAGUAGGGACACUGGCGAUCGUAAGAAAUUCUGGGUUCCAAAACUCUCUUUCCAAAAAUGAUUUUUCAGAAGGAGCGAAUUCCCCGCAAACAAGGCAGGAGACGACUAUCUCAAGGUGCAUCACGCGUACUCAGAAGCCGCAUUAUGCACUAGCUUGAAGGAUGAAUUGGGAAAACCUUUUGCUAGUAAUUGAAUUGGCCUACAAUUAUAGCUUUCGGGCAAUAAUUGAUAUGACACCAUAUGGAGCUUAUUGUGGAAAGAAAUAUUGAUCUCCACUCUAUUGACAUGAGGUAAGUGAAAGAAAAGUAACAGGACCUGAUGCGCUUGAAGAAAUGAUUACGCUUAUCCGACAAAUUCAACAACUGCUCAACGAACCUCAAGAGCGACAGAAAUUUUUUUUUUUUUUUUUUUUAGAUACUCGUUGAUUUGAUUUGAAAUUUUUGAAAUAGGGGAUGAAGUUUUUCUCAGUGUUCCGCAUUCUAAGAAUGCACAAAUUCGAUGUGAAAGAGAAGUAUCUAGCAUUAUUCUCUGACGUAGUCAAAUUUCGAGGACGAAAUUUCUUUAAGGGGGAGAGGAUGUAACACCCAGCAUUUUCACUACAGUAUAUAUAUUAUUUUCUAUUAUCUAAAAGAAGAAAGAGAAGUAGAAUCACUGAGAUGAGAUGAGAUAUUAUUAUAAUACCUUGAGCUUUUAAUUCAAUGAUUGCAUAAUUUGAAUAAUUAAGUAUUCUUGCUUUCUUUAUUAUUUUCAUUCUUGGAAGCAAGUUUAUAAUUCCUAGUUAAAGGGAUUAUUUUAUUAUUUUUCAGAGAUGAGAUUGGUGAUAAAUACGAAAUAUUAUUAGUCGACUUAUUGCUCGGCUAAUUGAAGUGACGGAUGUUAUUUAAUUAUUUAUCUAUGAGUUUUUUUUUUUAAUAGUGAUAGUUUGAGGAAAUUUAGUAUAUGUAUAUAGAAUUGUAUUAUAUUUCAUUGGGUGUAUAAUAAUUUAUUAAUUUAGAUAGCUAUCAAAUACUACUUGAGCUUGGAGCACAAGUUUCGUGAGUCAUAUUAGUGUAGAGAAUUGCUUUUCUAAUUUAUUCUUAUUUUAUUUGAUCUAAUUUUGAGGGCACAAAAUACUUAAGGAAAAGCCAAGUUUCCUCAUAUUAUGUAGAGAAUUGCUUUUCUAAUUUAUUCUUAUUUUUAUUUGAUCUAAUUUUGAGGGCCACAAAAUAAGGCUUAUAGGAAAAGCCAAGUUUUCCUCUUAUUAUUUAUUUCUUCUACAAACCUCAAAUGGGCCGAUCAGUAAGGGAAAUGAGGUUUGAAUUAUAUUGCUCAUUUCUAUAAUUGGAUUUAAAUUUUUAAUGUUUGAGAUAAGCAUUUAUUUAUUGUAAAGUGUAUAUAUUAGUUUGAGGAGAUUCAUUUCCUUUUCUUCUCCCCAAAACAGUCGACCUUCUCCCCUCUCUCUUUAUGGAACCUCAGUUUGAGUUUACUUUCAACCUUCAAGAAGAUUCAGCCGCCGCCUCUGCUCCGACCGUCGUCGGCUGCCGUCGGGUCCAAGUCCGGCGUCUCGUCUGUUCUUCCCUGGUGCCCCUCGCACUACUCUCAUCUUCUCUCAAUUUAGCGAAGAACCCAAAUGAGAAGCCCUAAUUUCAAAAUCCGAAAUCGCCGUCACCCGAGCCCGAAAUUCGGCAAUACAGCAGCCUCCUCUUCAACGUGGUCGAAGUUCUCGCACCGGAAGUCCUCGCCGUUCCCCCUCUUUUUCGAUGUGGAGCCCUAAUUAUUAGAAGAAGGAAAUUACUACUGUCGCGACUGGAAGGCCAACGAACGGCUGAGCUUCGCCCAUCUCUGCCUUGAAUCCAUGCUCGAGAAUGAGAGAAAGGGAAACGAGCUCUAAUUCUUUUCUACUCCCGCCGUCAUGGUUCGGCUGCCACCUCCGCCGUCUGUGGAAGACCGGCGAUUCAGCGGCGCCGCUCCAUUCACGACGCCGCUACUGCUGCUACACGAUCCCCUCCGAGGCAGGAAGCGCUGCUGUCAUCAUCGUCGUCUUGGCUCGACUGAACAGGGUAGCGUCCCUCGUCGUCGAAAAGUUAAGUAUUCUACUUGUUAUUGUAGAAAGUGUUUGAUGUUGCUUGUGAUUUCUGAGUUCAUGCCAUAAUAAUCGAGGCAUAGGUGACUUCUCUCUAAGAUUCCUAAAGUGAGAUAUUAAACAAAAUGUUAUAUGUUUCUAAGUUAGUAAUUACUUUAAAUUAAGUAAAAUGAUGGCAGGAAUCAUAGCUUCAGCCCAAAGCUUCGAUUUUUGACCCUCCCUCAAGAACCCCAGAAUUUCAUCUUCUUUAUAUUUGUAUCAAUUGACUAUGUAUACAUGUCUAUAUGUAUGUGAAGAAUUGAUUGGGAUUUUAUUUGGGUAUUUAUUCACAAGAAAACAUGAUUCCCUAAUAGUUUAGUUUAAGUGGAUUUGGGAGUUCUUGGAAUAAGCUAGCUACAUGUUUGAUGCUUGUGUAAUUGUACUCCUUGAAUUGUAAAAUGAGAUUAUAUGACAAUAGUUGGAGGAUAUCAAGCAUGCUACUAUAUGUUGAUGUGUUGAACAUGAAUUACGUUUAAGCUAAAGCAUGCUAAUGUGUAGUAAGAUGAUGUAUUUGAGUUACUAUAGCUUUUAUUUGAUAAAAAUAUGAGUUAUAUGUUGAGUUGAGAUGAAGAAGGUAUUGCUGUUGGUUUUGCUGUACAGGACAGUACCUUGUAAGGUAUUUUCGGGAGUGUUCCUGUGUUCGAAAUGAUUUGAAAUUUUUACAGUAAUUACUUCAUUAUGAGUAUUAGAUCUCUGCAAAAUUUCAGCUAAAUCCGAGACCAAUAGACAUGUCAAACUAUUUUCUGAAAUGUACUGCACGGAGCAGCAGAGUUCAGUGCAGAUUCUGUCUUUGGUCAUAUAACUUCUUAUCCACUUGAGAUUUUGUGUUUUUGUAAAUUUCUGAGAAAUAUAGACAUCAAUAGCUUUCUAAAAAGGUAAAACUCGUAUUUUUCCUUGAAGCGAUUGAUUUUAUAUGAUUUUCCAAAGUUAGGAUUCAAAUGUGUAUGUGUCUUGAUUAAACUUGUGAUUGGUAGUUAAUUGAGAUCCUACACUACUAAACUUGAAUUAAGGUUUUAUUGUUCUAAUUACCUAUUGAGAAUUAUUGAUUACUAAGCUUGUUAAUAUGAUAGUUGAUGGACAUAAUUAUGCUUAUAUGAUUAAUUACUUUGGGAUUUUGUGUUUUACAUGUAUGGUUAGUUGUAAACUGAUCUCUAUGGAAUGGAUUUGUUUACUUCUAAACUUUCU
rnacentral:lncRNA from 1 species